rnacentral:tRNA from 1 species
GUCAGGGUUGCCAAGUAAGGUAUGGCGUGUGUCUGGAAAACACAUUUCUCCCCGGAUACGUGGAUUCAAUUCCCACCCUGACG